rnacentral:lncRNA from 1 species
AGAGACAGCUGUUUGUCCCCCAGUAUCCUUCAGACAAAGCCAUAUAUGAUUGAAGGUUAUCAGUACUGUGCUUUUGGAGGAUUCAGAAGAAGUUAUAUCUGAUUGGGAGAUUGAAAAGGAUUGGCCUGAAGGAGAGGUGGUUUUUGAACUGCAUCUUAAAGGAUGAGGAAACUGAGGCUGAGAGGGUAGAGAACUUUGCCUGAGGUCACUCAGCAGGGACCCACCCAUCACAGUAAAUGCCAGCACUGCUGAUGCCAAAACAAUGUUAUUUGUAGGCCCUCGGAAUUUGUGACCUGAAGGAAGAAGAGCAGGGCCGUGGGAAGUAUGUAACCAGUGUCAUGCCCCUGGUCCCAAGGAAGCAGUGGCUUGGCCUGAACACCCUGUCCUACCUGGUCCUACCUGGAUGCUGGCCUCAGUAAGCUCCUGGGCUCAUUGAAGAUGAACCUAGCAGUAGUAUUUACACCACUUGUUGUGUGCCCACUGUGGGCCCGGCGCCAUGCCGAGUGCUCUAUGGAUGUGAGAGAAACGGAGGCCCAGAAAGCAGAAAUGAUGUGUUAAGAUCACUCAUCAAGCUGAUGGUACAGAGAUGAGAACACUGAAGCAGUUUUUUCUAAAGAUAGCUGCCUGGCACAGUGGCUCACAUCUGUAGUCCCAGCAUUUGGGGAGGCCAAGGCAGGUGGAUCACUUGAGGCCAGGAAUUCAAGACCAGCAUGGCCAACAUGUGCUGGGAGAGAAAAGCAUACGACAUAGACAGGGAGGUCAAGCUCCACCACGCAGAUGAGGUGCAGGCCACCAGUCUUCCUCUGCCACAUCUCUUUCUGAAAAGGACUUCACAUUCACCCUUGCAAUCCAUGUGGGGACACUGUUGGAUAGGAGGCGUGGUCCCAGCGUGGUCUCCCUGUCUGGGCCUCUGCCUAUGCCAAAUGUUUGCCUUACGCUGCACACUCAAGAGGUUCCAUGUAUACAGAUGGGAAUUCCAGAGCUACAGAAAAGGCAGCAAGCACCAUGAUUUAAGCUAACCAGUGUGGAUUCACACCUUCCUCUCUCUCUAUCAGUGGCAGAACUACCAGCUAGAGUAAGAAGUGGUUGAUCCAGGACCUAAACAUUCUGGAAACUCUUGCCCACUUCUGGGAGAAAUGACCCAAUCCAUAGUACUAAGCACACCUUAACUUUCGUAGGACGCAGGCAAGUUGUCAUACCGUGUGCCUAAAUAUAGAAAAAUGAUCCACUGGACUAAUAAAGUGUUAAAUAAAAUAUGUCCUGACUGUC